rnacentral:rRNA from 1 species
UGGGGAAUAUUGGACAAUGGGCGCAAGCCUGAUCCAGCCAUGCCGCGUGAGUGAUGAAGGCCCUAGGGUUGUAAAGCUCUUUCACCGGUGAAGAUAAUGACGGUAACCGGAGAAGAAGCCCCGGCUAACUUCGUGCCAGCAGCCGCGGUAAUACGAAGGGGGCUAGCGUUGUUCGGAUUUACUGGGCGUAAAGCGCACGUAGGCGGACUUUUAAGUCAGGGGUGAAAUCCCGGGGCUCAACCCCGGAACUGCCUUUGAUACUGGGAGUCUUGAGUUCGGGAGAGGUCAGUGGAACUGCGAGUGUAGAGGUGAAAUUCGUAGAUAUUCGCAAGAACACCAGUGGCGAAGGCGGCUCACUGGCCCGGUACUGACACUGAGGUGCGAAAGCGUGGGGAGCAAACA